rnacentral:rRNA from 1 species
UACGAAGGGUGCAAGCGUUACUCGGAAUUACUGGGCGUAAAGGGUGCGUAGGUGGUUCUUUAAGUCUGCUGUGAAAUCCCCGGGCUCAACCUGGGAAUGGCAGUGGAUACUGGAGAGCUAGAGUGCGGUAGAGGGUAGUGGAAUUCCCGGUGUAGCAGUGAAAUGCGUAGAGAUCAUGAGGAAGACCAGUGGCGAAGGCGGGUCUCUGGACAGUUCCUGACACUGAGGCACGAAGGCCAGGGGAGCAAACGGG